rnacentral:rRNA from 1 species
CUACGGGAGGCAGCAGUGGGGGAUAUUGCACAAUGGGGGAAACCCUGAUGCAGCGAUGCCGCGUGAGGGAAGAAGGUUUUCGGAUUGUAAACCUCUGUGGAGGGGGACGAUAAUGACGGUACCCCUUAAGGAAGCCACGGCUAACUACGUGCUAGCAGCCGCGGUAAUACGUAGGUGGCUAGCGUUGUCCGGAAUUACUGGGUGUAAAGGGAGCGUAGGCGGGAGUGCAAGUCAGAAGUGAAAACUAUGGGCUCAACCCAUAGCCUGCUUUUGAAACUGUACUUCUUGAGCGAGUCAGAGGCAAGCGGAAUUCCCAGUGUAGCGGUGAAAUGCGUAGAUAUUGGGAGGAACACCAGUGGCGAAGGCGGCUUGCUGGGGCUUUACUGACGCUGAGGCUCGAAAGCGUGGGGAGCAAACAGGAUUAGAUACCCUGGUAGUCCACGCCGUAAACGAUGAUUACUAGGUGUGGGGUGAGAACCACUCCGUGCCGGAGUUAACACAAUAAGUAAUCCACCUGGGGAGCACGACCGCAAGGUUGCAACUCAAAUGAAUUGACGGA